rnacentral:lncRNA from 1 species
UUCUUUCUCGUUUUUCAUCUUCUGCAGCUUAAUUUCUUUAACUUUCUUCUUCUUGUCACUUCUUUCUUUCACUUUCUUCUUUUAAGUUCAUCGAUUAUUGGGGCAUAAUAUCACUCUCAUAUUGCAAAUGGUGUUCGUCCCUCAGCACCAAAAAACAGUGCCAUGAUCACGUUUCAUUGAUGCCCACAUAUUCUUUAACAACAUUUGACAUCAAAUGAAC